CCGAGUUUACAACUCCCAAACCCCUGUGAACAUACCACUUGUUGCCUCGGCGGAUCAGCCCGCUCCCGGUAAAACGGGACGGCCCGCCAGAGGACCCCUAAACUCUGUUUCUAUAUGUAACUACUGAGUAAAACCAUAAAUAAAUCA
rnacentral:misc_RNA from 1 species